CAGUCGCCGCGGGAAUACGGAGGGUGCAAGCGUUAAUCGGAAUUACUGGGCGUAAAGCGCACGCAGGCGGUCUGUCAAGUCAGAUGUGAAAUCCCCGGGCUUAACCUGGGAACUGCAUUUGAAACUGGCAGGCUAGAGUCUUGUAGAGGGGGGUAGAAUUCCAGGUGUAGCGGUGAAAUGCGUAGAGAUCUGGAGGAAUACCGAUGGCGAAGGCAGCCAUCUGGCCUAAUACUGACGCUGAGGUACGAAAGCAUGGGGAGCAAACAGGAUUAGAUACCCGCGUAGUCCCUGUCUCUUAUAC
rnacentral:rRNA from 1 species